rnacentral:rRNA from 1 species
AUUGAACGCUGGCGGCAGGCCUAACACAUGCAAGUCGAACGGUAACAGGAAACAGCUUGCUGUUUCGCUGACGAGUGGCGGACGGGUGAGUAAUGUCUGGGAAACUGCCUGAUGGAGGGGGAUAACUACUGGAAACGGUAGCUAAUACCGCAUAACGUCGCAAGACCAAAGAGGGGGACCUUCGGGCCUCUUGCCAUCGGAUGUGCCCAGAUGGGAUUAGCUAGUAGGUGGGGUAACGGCUCACCUAGGCGACGAUCCCUAGCUGGUCUGAGAGGAUGACCAGCCACACUGGAACUAAGACACGGUCCAGACUCCUACGGGAGGCAGCAGUGGGGAAUAUUGCACAAUGGGCGCAAGCCUGAUGCAGCCAUGCCGCGUGUAUGAAGAAGGCCUUCGGGUUGUAAAGUACUUUCAGCGGGGAGGAAGGGAGUAAAGUUAAUACCUUUGCUCAUUGACGUUACCCGCAGAAGAAGCACCGGCUAACUCCGUG